rnacentral:rRNA from 1 species
CAAUUUCGGUACGGACAGAGCCCGUGAUCCGGGCGAAUGGAAUUCAUAAUCGAUGGCGGCGUCGGGUUCGCUCGGCGUCGUCGUCGGUUCGAUAUUUCCACCGCCGACCCUCAACCGAGGGCGUCGGACGUCGCGAUUCGUUCGCCGUCGAUACCGAAAGUACGCGCCUCAAGCUCGUUGUCGCGGACGUCUCGGCGUUCGCGCGGCGAUGGCGCGUUUCUCACGUUUCGACGCGGACGGUACGUUUGCGCGCGGGUAUUCGAGGCGGUCCCUCGUCCGGCGUCUCGUACGUCGGACGGCGCCGCCUCGACGCCGGUCAGCGACGAAUCUUCGGGCCUCUUUCCGACCCGUCUUGAAAACCGGACCAAAAAGGUCCAAAAUUUUUAAAAAAAAAAAAUUUAAAUACCCCC